rnacentral:rRNA from 1 species
GGGCCCGCACAAGCGGUGGAGCAUGUGGUUUAAUUCGAUGAUACGCGAGGAACCUUACCAGGGUUUAAAUGCAGAACGACAGGGGUGGAAACACCCCCUUCUUCGGACGGACUGCAAGGUGCUGCAUGGUUGUCGUCAGCUCGUGCUGUGAAGUGUCGGGUUAAGUCCCAUAACGAGCGCAACCCCCCAUUUCUAGUUGCCAGCGGUUCGGCCGGGGACUCUAGAGAAACUGCCAGCGUAAGCUGUGAGGAAGGUGGGGAUGACGUCAAAUCAUCACGGCCCUUACAUCCUGGGCCACACACGUGCUACAAUGGUGGGGACAACAGGUUGCCAACCCGCGAGGGUGAGCCAAUCCUUAAAAGAUAUCUCAGUUCGGAUUGCACUCUGCAACUCGAGUGCAUGAAGCUGGAAUU